AUUUCCUGUAUGAAUAGUUGCGAAGGACGGAGAAUGCACAGCCAAGAAAGAGAUGUGGAAAUGUUUUGAAUAUAUACAAGGUAUGUAACGCCGAAGGGAUUAAUUCCGGUGCGACAUCAGAAGGGUGUUCUCGCGGUGUUGCACGCGCGGCUGGAGCUGCUGUCGUCAUUAACGGCCUGUGGACCCUACUGGAGUCUUAAUGGCAAUGAUAGACUCGCCAAACAAGUCCUGUUACUGUAUUUGGAGGUGACUGAUUCUUUUGCUUUACUUUAUUAUCUCAAUUCAGAUUUUAUUUUUUAAUGAACCACAGACGCCUUUGUUUAUACGGGUUCAGGACCACAAUAUCAAUCGUGUUUGGCACAAACUGCCCUGGUGCGAGUCCGGCUGCAGCGGUUUGAACACAGCCCAGAUUCCAAGUGGAGAGACGUCACGCGGCCUCGGGUACUUUUAAACGGAGGGCCAGACCACCCUUUCUCAACUUUACUAUUUCUUAGUAGUUAUAACACAGCUGGUAUAUCCAAGAUUUCUUACUUUUUUUCUGUUUUGUAACCAACACCACUAGAUUAAGUGGACGUUAUAUCAAUGUUAAUUCGUUUUGCAAACGCGGAGAGGGUAUCAAAUCUUGUUCGCUGGUUAGAAUGCAGCACUACUAUCCGUAAUGCUUGAAAGCAAUUUUACAGAUUUAUAAAUUUCCGUCUGUGUUAUUUAACAAGUUAGAUAAUAAUCAUACCUCAGCUAGCUGAGAGGGGAAUCCAUUCCACUGACCGUGCUUUUAUUUGUCCCUUGUCCCUUUUCCUUUCUUCCUUCGUCCUUCUCAUCUCCCAACCCAGAGUCAGGUCGGCUCUGGCCCACCAAUUUACACUCUACCUACUAAUGCCAGACUCCCUGUCGGUAACAACUAGCAAAAGCUUUCCAGACUUGUUCAUGCUUAAGGCACAGGUAGUAGAAUAACCCGGUUACCAUAGCCUUCAAGUAAGUGUCUAAAGCUGUUUAGCUUUAUUGACCAGUAAGGAAAGUGAAAGACAGCGAUCACUAAAAUUAGCAUUAGAUAGUAACUUCAAUUAAAUCUAAUACAUCGCAGUAAGAUUGCGGUGAGUAGGGCUUUUGAGUCUAAGGCUCGUCUGCUUAAUGAACCUUUUUGUUUCUUUUUUACUCUUCCUUUUAAGUGUUACUUACCGCGCAUGGAAGAACUCUGUCACGGCAACUGCAUUGAGGCAGCGAGUCGGCCCAGUGCUGUCUUGCGGCGGAAAUAAGUUUAGGUUCUCGAAGGCUUCUGCAUUGACAAAAUGGUUGUGGCGCCGAGUCAUAGCUGCGGCAGCGGAGACGCAUUUGGGUUCCCGGCCACAUCUGCGUCCAGUGCACACUCAGCCAGCCGUGGAGGCGAGUUCGGGCCCAGUACGAGACCUGCUCGCAGCAGCUGUAUCGGUGAGAUGAGCCCAAACCAGACUCAUGGCAGCAGAGUCAAGUUUGGGCUGGUGAGGUACCUGGUGGCAUUUAUGGCCUCUAUACUGGUGAGGAUUCCAUGGCAAGUGUCAAUGAAGGCAAAAUGGCACCAAAAAGAGUGGCGAAGGGGACUCAUGCCACGACAGUCACAGCAGAGCACUUAACAUGGAGGACUGAAGUUGAAUAUUUUUCUGCCUUUCUACUGUAUAGUUUAUUUUUGUGAAUUAGUGCCAGAGAAUAACACUAUACAGCACUUUUAACUGUAUUUAGUAACAAAACACAAGUGACAAAUAAAUCAACCAUGGAUUUGCA